rnacentral:rRNA from 1 species
GAUGAACGCUGGCGGCGUGCCUAAUACAUGCAAGUCGAGCGAACAGACGAGGAGCUUGCUCCUUUGACGUUAGCGGCGGACGGGUGAGUAACACGUAGGUAACCUACCUAUAAGACUGGGAUAACUUCGGGAAACCGGAGCUAAUACCGGAUAAUAUUUCGAACCGCAUGGUUCGAUAGUGAAAGAUGGCUUUGCUAUCACUUAUAGAUGGACCUGCGCCGUAUUAGCUAGUUGGUAAGGUAACGGCUUACCAAGGCAACGAUACGUAGCCGACCUGAGAGGGUGAUCGGCCACACUGGAACUGAGACACGGUCCAGACUCCUACGGGAGGCAGCAGUAGGGAAUCUUCCGCAAUGGGCGAAAGCCUGACGGAGCAACGCCGCGUGAGUGAUGAAGGUCUUCGGAUCGUAAAACUCUGUUAUUAGGGAAGAAUAAACGUGUAAGUAACUGUGCACGUCUUGACGGUACCUAAUCAGAAAGCCACGGCUAACUACGU